rnacentral:sRNA from 1 species
UGCAGCCUGUGUUGCAGCGCUAUUUAUGUAUGAGUGUAGAGUAAAGCAGUUCCUCCCAGACGUUAUCUCUUUCCCGAUGAUUCCGCUUCCAAGACGAACCUUCUAAGUCCUCCCCAUAAGUAAUUGUCUGAACUAUUGGCUAACAUUGCCGAAUGGCAGGAUUUUAUAUUUUGUAAAAGGUUUUAAAUAUGUCUAAGAAAAAUGGUCAGGUUAAGUGGUUCAAUGAAAGCAAAGGUUUUGGUUUUAUUGAACAGGCUGAUGGUGGCAAGGAUGUGUUCGUACAUUUCUCUGCAAUCGCAACCGAUGGUUUCAAAACUCUGGCCGAAGGCCAGCGUGUAGAAUACACCAUUCAGGAUAGCCCGCGCGGUCCUGCUGCUGCUAACGUUAUUGCGCUCUGAAAAGAGACAAGCGUGAUGAUAUGAAACAACGUUAAUCGCUACUCAUAUCAGCAGAGUAAAACCCGCCGGAUGGCGGGUUUUACAUA